rnacentral:rRNA from 1 species
GAUGAACGCUGGCGGCGUGCCUAAUACAUGCAAGUCGAGCGAACGGACGAGAAGCUUGCUUCUCUGAUGUUAGCGGCGGACGGGUGAGUAACACGUGGAUAACCUACCUAUAAGACUGGGAUAACUUCGGGAAACCGGAGCUAAUACCGGAUAAUAUUUUGAACCGCAUGGUUCAAAAGUGAAAGACGGUCUUGCUGUCACUUAUAGAUGGAUCCGCGCUGCAUUAGCUAGUUGGUAAGGUAACGGCUUACCAAGGCAACGAUGCAUAGCCGACCUGAGAGGGUGAUCGGCCACACUGGAACUGAGACACGGUCCAGACUCCUACGGGAGGCAGCAGUAGGGAAUCUUCCGCAAAGGGCGAAAGCCUGACGGAGCAACGCCGCGUGAGUGAUGAAGGUCUUCGGAUCGUAAAACUCUGCUAUUAGGGAAGAACAUAUGUGUAAGUAACUGUGCACAUCUUGACGGUACCUAAUCAGAAAGCCACGGCUAACUACGUG